UGUCAUUAAAAAAAAUAUGAAAUAUAAAAAAAGAAUUUUAUAUGUGUUUUUAUUUUGUUAUUUGUUUCGAGUAUGGUUAUUCAUGCAAUUGUGUGGGUGUUAAAAAUAAUGAGAUAAACAAACAAUAUGUCGAGUAUAAUUAUUACACUGUUUUUUACAUGUUAUAAAUACAAAUACAAAAAAAAGUAUGAUGCAAAAUAUGAUAAGCUUGUGUGUGUUUUUCCUGUAAUUUAUUUCUAGUAUGAAUAUUCAUGCAACUGUGUGGGUGUUAAAAAAAACCGUUAAAAAAAAUAAAUGUGAGUGUAUGUGUUACAAAAAAAAAUAUAUAAAAUAUAAAAAAAAAAUGAUAUAAAAUAUAUAAAAAAUAUAUUAAAUGUGUUUGUGUGUCUAUAUCUUGUAAUUUGUUUCGAGUAUGAUAAUUCAUGCAAUAGCCUGGGUGUAAAAAAAAUGAAAAAAAAAGAAAAGAAAAGAAAAUUACGAGUUUGUGUGUGUGUAUCUAGUAUUUGUUUCAAGCAUAAUUAUUUUCGCAACUGUUUGUGCUAGAAUUAAAAAAACAACAACAAACAAAUAAUAUAAAUAUAAAUACACGAAAAAAUACAAAAUAUAAAAUAUGAUAAAGUUUUGUGUGUGUUUCUUAAAAUUUAUUUCUAGCAUGAAUAUUCAUGCAAUAGUGUGGGUGUUAAAAAAAUAAAAAAAUAAAAAUAAAUCUAAAAUUAAACAUUAAAAAAAUAAAAUAAGGACGAGUUAAUGUGUGUGUAUCUUGUAAUUUGUCUCUAUAUGAUUGUUCAUGCAACUGUGUGUGUAAAGAAGUUUAAAAAAAAAAAUUAGAGAAAAUAAUACAAAAUAUGAUGAGCUUGUGUGUGUGUAUUUUGUAAUUUGUUUCAAGUACGAUUAUUUAUGCAACUGUAUGGGUGUUAAAAAUAAAUAAAUUGAUAAGUAAUAAGAAAAUUAAUAAGAAAAAAAAAUAGGAUGAGUUUAUGUGUGUCUUGUAAUUUGUUUCAAGUAUGAUUAUUCAUGCAGCUGUGUGGAUGUUAAAUAUAAUACAAAAAAACACAUCAUAGGAUUAGUUAUGUGUGUGCAUGUUUCUUGUAAUUUGUUUCAAGUAUGAUUAUUUUCGUAACUGUUCGUUAUAAAAAAAAAAAUAAAACAGAUUAAGAAAGCUUGCGUG
rnacentral:lncRNA from 1 species